rnacentral:rRNA from 1 species
AUGGCGGCGGCAGAGGGGGAGACGAGCCGGCUGUUCCGCGUCCGGCGGACGGUGAUGCAGAUGCUGCGGGACCGCGGGUACCUGGUGCUGGACGCCGACGUCGACCUGACCAUGGGCGAGUUCGUCGGGCGCUACGGCGACCCCGUGCGCCGCGAGGACCUCGUCAUCAACCGCGCCAAGAAGGACAACCCCGACGACCAGAUCUACGUCUUCUUCCCGAACGAGCCCAAGCCCGGCACGAAGGUGGUCACCAGCUACGCCGAGAAGAUGGCGCAGGAGAACGUCCCCAAUGGCAUACUCGUCGUGCAGCAGGCGCUGACCGCCUUUGCCCGCAACAAACUGGUCGAGACCUCUAAAUUCCGGCUGCAGGUCUUCCAGGAAGGGGAGCUUCUUAUAAACAUUAAGAAUCACGAUCUGGUUCCCGAGCACGUGCUCCUCACACAGGAGCAGAAGAAGACGCUGCUGGAGAAAUACACCGUGAAAGAAACUCAGCUGCCUCGCAUUCAACACUCGGAUCCAAUAGCAAGAUACUAUGGCAUGAGGCGUGGACAAGUCGUGAAGAUCACCAGGCCCAGUGAGACUGCUGGAAAAUAUGUGACAUAUCGAUAUGUUGUCUGA